rnacentral:rRNA from 1 species
CCGGCAGUGGCGGACGGGUGAGUAACGCGUAGGGUAUCUGUCCCGGGGCGGGGGAUAACCAUGGGAAACUAUGGCUAAUACCGCAUGACGCCCGAGGGCCAAAGCAGCAAUGCGCCCUGGGAGGAGCCUGCGUACGAUUAGCUUGUUGGCGGGGUAAUGGCCCACCAAGGCGACGAUCGUUAGCUGGUCUGAGAGGACGAUCAGCCACACUGGGAUUGAGAACGGCCCAG